rnacentral:misc_RNA from 1 species
GGCAUAAACACCUUCCAAGCCAAUAAGAGCAAAAAAGUUUCAAGACCCCAAGCCCCUCUGUCGACGUAAUCCCCAUUGAAGACAAAGAAGCGGUUUUCAGAAGGAAAACCAGCAUCCUGCAGAAGAAAGAGGAGAUCAUGAAAUUGGCCGUGGAUGUCUCCGACGACGACUACAGUCGAGUCGCUGCUGGCGGCUGAGUCUUGGAGGAUUCUGAGGCAAUUGGGUUCUUUGUG